CCGGAUCGGUCCAGGCCACCACAGGCGGACGGGGAGCACCGGAGCCGGAGGAGGUGGCCGUGCUGUCGUGGGACAUCGUGAGGAGCUGCUCCGCCUCGGCGAUCUGACGGGCCAAGAUGUCGGCCGCAUCCCGCUCCCGCUCCCAGGCCAGGGCUGCCGCGCGCAGGCGCGCCUGUCCCUCGGCAGCGGCAGCCCGGGCAGCGACGAGGGCUGUCGCGAGGUUCCCAUCCGGAGGUGGUAGAGGAGGCGGGGCGGGGAAAGGUAGGCGAGCAGCCCCUCCCCCCACAGGAGCAGCUGCCACCCCUGUAAAAACAGGGGCAGCAGUCCCCCCCACCCCCGGUUGAAAACCAGGGGCAGGAGGCGUCGGGUAGAGGGCGGCGGCGGCGGCGGCGGCGGCGGCGGCGGCGGCGGCGGCAGCGGCGUCCCCGCCGGCCUGCGCGCCCGCGCGCUCGCCCGCGCGCUCGCCCGCGCGGCGAGCCGCAGCGGCAGCGGCGGCGGCGGCGUCCCCGCCGGCCUGCACGCCCGCGCGCUCGCCCGCGCGCUCGCCCGCGCGGCGAGCAGCGGCGGCGGCGGCGGCGGCGGCGUCCCCGCCCGCGUGCUCGCCCGCGCGCUCGCCCGCGCGGCGAGCCGCAGCGGCGGCGGCGGCGGCGGCGGCGGCUGCGGGAUCCGCGCCGUCCGCCGCCCCGUCGGCGGCGGCGGCGGCGGCAGGGCCCGCCCCGACGGCCGCCAGAGCCGCGGCCGCAGGGGGCCGGUCGGCGGCCGCCACCUGCGCCC
rnacentral:lncRNA from 1 species